rnacentral:rRNA from 1 species
GUAAGAUUCCAUGUAGACUAUGUGGUUGAUAGGCUGGAGGUGUAAGUGCAGUGAUGUAUGUAGCUGACCAGUACUAAUAAAUCGAGGGCUUAACCAC